GGGCCCGCACAAGCAGCGGAGCAUGUGGUUUAAUUCGAAGCAACGCGAAGAACCUUACCAAGGCUUGACAUCCCUUGACGUGCAUAGAAAUAUGUACUCCCUUCGGGGCAAGGAGACAGGUGGUGCAUGGUUGUCGUCAGCUCGUGUCGUGAGAUGUUGGGUUAAGUCCCGCAACGAGCGCAACCCUUAUUGCUAGUUGCCAGCGCGUAAAGGCGGGAACUCUAGUGAGACUGCCGGGGACAACUCGGAGGAAGGUGGGGACGACGUCAAAUCAUCAUGCCCCUUAUGUCUUGGGCUACACACGUGCUACAAUGGCCGGUACAAAGGGCAGCAAAGCCGCAAGGCGGAGCGAAUCUCAUAAAGCCGGUCUCAGUUCGGAUCGUGGGCUGCAACCCGCCCACGUGAAGUCGGAGUUGCUAGUAAUCGCGAAUCAGCAUGUCGCGGUGAAUGCGUUCCCGGGCCUU
rnacentral:rRNA from 1 species